GACGAACGCUGGCGGCGUGCUUAACACAUGCAAGUCGAACGGUAAGGCCCUUCGGGUACGACGAGUGGCGAACGGGUGAGUAACACGUGGUGAUCUGCCCUGCACUUCGGGAUAAGCCUGGGAAACUGGGUCUAAUACCGGAUAGGACUCCUGGCUUCAUGGUUGGGGUGUAAAGCUUUUGCGGUGUGGGAUGGGCCCGCGGCCUAUCAGCUUGUUGGUGGGGUAAUGGCCUACCAAGGCGACGACGGGUAGCCGGCCUGAGAGGGUGACCGGCCACACUGGGACUGAGAUACGGCCCAGACUCCUACGGGAGGCAGCAGUGGGGAAUAUUGCACAAUGGGCGCAAGCCUGAUGCAGCGACGCCGCGUGAGGGAUGACGGCCUUC
rnacentral:rRNA from 1 species